rnacentral:lncRNA from 1 species
CCGGGAAUUCGCGUGCGGCUGCGGAAGGGCGGGCGACGGGCUGCACCUGCCGGGAGGUGGUCGGUCACUCGCCGCGGCUUUGCCCCUACGCCUAGAGCAGGAAUUAGAGGGCUUUUCUUACAAUAGAAAGAAAAAAUAGACGUUGUCAUCUAAAUUUGCUCUAACAGCUGGUUUUCAUGCCGUAGCAUCGAGAGAGAGUCGCAACUUUGAAUCUCCACUGAUGCAUGAAGUCCCAGAGCACCAAGGCAGCAGCACAGACAGUUCUGCAACCAGUUUGGGAAGCUCUAUCACAG